rnacentral:rRNA from 1 species
AACGUAGGAGACAAACGUUAUCCGGAGUUACUGGGCGUAAAGGGCAUGCAGGUGGUCUGUUAAGUCUGGCGUGAAAGCUCUCGGCUAAACCGGGAGAGGUCGUUGGAUACUGGCGGACUAGAGGACGGUAGAGGCGUGUGGAAUUCCGGGUGUAGUGGUGAAAUGCGUAGAGAUCCGGAGGAACACCAGUGGCGAAGGCGACACGCUGGGCCGUACCUGACACUAAAACGCGACAGCAUGGGGAGCGAACGGG